UACAGAGGGGGCAAGCGUUAUUCGGAAUUAUUGGGCGUAAAGGGCGCGUAGGCGGCUUUGCAAGUGGCGGGUGAAAUCCCUCGGCUUAACCGAGGAACUGCCUGCCAGACUGUGAGGUUUGAGACCGGGAGAGGUGAGUGGAAUUCCCAGUGUAGCGGUGAAAUGCGUAGAUAUUGGGAGGAACACCAGUGGCGAAGGCGGCUCACUGGACCGGAACUGACGCUGAGGCGCGAAGGCGUGGGGAGCAAACAGG
rnacentral:rRNA from 1 species